UUAUUAUUUUAAUAUUUUUAUAAUAAAUAUAUUAAUUUUAAUUUUAAUACUCUAAUUAAUAUAUUUACUAAGGUAUUUUUCUCAACAAGAACCUGAUAAGUACAGCCUGCCUAAAGAAUAUGCGUUAAAAUAGAUUCAUCAUCUAUAAGGAUCCUCAAACAGAGCAACACGCAUGAACCACUAUGGCACAAGUGCUAAGAUAUUCGAUACUUACCUUCAAGCUAGAUCCAGACUCA
rnacentral:misc_RNA from 1 species